rnacentral:rRNA from 1 species
CAGCASUGAGGAAUAUUGGUCAAUGGACGAAAGUCUGAACCAGCCAUGCCGCGUGCAGGAAGACUGCCCUACGGGUUGUAAACUGCUUUUAUAUAGGAAUAAACCCUCSUUYGUGAACGAGGSUGAAGSUACUAUAAGAAUAAGGACCKGCUAACUCCGUGCCAGCASCCGCGGUAAUACGGAGGGUCCAAGCGUUAUCYGGAUUUAYUGGGUUUAAAGGGUCCGCAGGCGGGAGAAUAAGUCASUGGUGAAAUCYUGUCGMUUAACGAUAGAAMUGCCAYUGAUACUGUUUUUCUUGAGUAUAGAUGAAGUGGGCGGAAUGUGUCAUGUAGCGGUGAAAUGCAUAGAUAUGACACAGAACACCGAKUGCGAAGGCASCUCACUAAACUAUAACUGACGCUCAUGGACGAAAGMGUGGGGAGCGAACASGAUUAGAUACCCUGGUAGUCCACGCUGUAAAGGAKGAUUACUCGGUGUUAACGAUAYACGGUUAGUGCCUAAGCGAAAGUGAUA